UCACCUUGGGUUUGAGCCAAAGCACACUGAAGUCAGUGGAUGUUUCCAUUGAUUUCAAUGGGCUUUGGAUCAGGCCCUUUGAGA
rnacentral:pre_miRNA from 1 species